rnacentral:misc_RNA from 1 species
AACGCACGAGACCUGCGGACCUGCGGAAGGAUCAUUAAAGUGUUCUCACUGGCUGUGCGCCCUCGGGCUGCACGCCGGUUCCACUCAUCCACACCUGUGCACCUUUUCGGUGGAGGGGGAAACCCCUUCAUCUGUACAUCACACGUCGUAUCAGUCUUGUAUGUCUUCGUUGUAAAACACAAUACAACUUUCAGCAACGGAUCUCU